rnacentral:rRNA from 1 species
UACAGAGGUCCCAAGCGUUGUUCGGAUUCAUUGGGCGUAAAGGGUGCGUAGGUGGCGCCGUAAGUCGGGUGUGAAAUCUCGGGGCUUAACUCCGAAACUGCAUUCGAUACUGCGGUGCUUGAGGACUGGAGAGGAGACUGGAAUUUACGGUGUAGCAGUGAAAUGCGUAGAGAUCGUAAGGAAGACCAGUGGCGAAGGCGGGUCUCUGGACAGUUCCUGACACUGAGGCACGAAGGCCAGGGGAGCAAACGGG